rnacentral:lncRNA from 1 species
AUGACACUUAGUAAGUUUGCUUCCUUUCUCUGUCAUUUGAUCCUAAGGUAACAUAUGUCUCACAUGUAUUCAGACAUACAGGAUGCUAAUCCACCUUGCAUCCUGCUGUCCAGGUGGACUUCUGUUAGGGACCCAAGGGCCCUUUGGUGUGUAGUGUACAGCACCUUAUUUUAGCAUCAAUAAAUCCAUUAUCCAGUUUUUGAAAAAUCAACUCCAAGGACUGGGUUUAUCUUUCAGUUGACAAAAAUCCAAGUUGUCUUUUGCUAGAAUAAAGCAGAAGGGCUUUCCUAACAUGCUUUAGAGCUUUUAUUGCUUCUUACUGAUACUGACUUAGAAAGCUUUCUGGGUUUUGUAUUUGUUUUAAGAAACAUUGGUUCCUAUGUAUUUUAGCAUUUUUGGUGAUUUCAAUUGACUUUGUUUCUUUUAGGUACUGUUUUUAUUGUUUUACUUAGAAUAUUAGGAUUUUUUUUCACUAAUUUUUCUGCCAGUGAAGGAAAAUGGUCAUCCUUAGUACACAGAAAAGUAUGUUUUCACUUUUCCUUGUUCGGGAAUGAUAAGGGCAAUGCUUUUUGAGGUUUAACUAACAAGGAUUUACUUCCAGUAACCUGACAUAUCUCAUCUUGUCAGAGCCCUAUGUGCUAUAUCCACAUUUAUAUAUAUUUUUUCUAGCCUAUGUAGUUGUUCAGCUUUUAACAAAUAACUCUGGCAGUAUUUUAAACAUGCUAGCAUUUCAGGGGUAUUCUACUUAAAAACAAAACAAAACUGGGAUCAGAUGGCAUCCUAGUUUUGGUACCGGGGCAUUGCCAGUCACCUGAGCUAAGGAAGCAGGCAGGCUGGUGGUUCUUCUGUUCUCAAGCCUUUCAGGUGAGGACACAUGGCCUGGUGAUGCAGCUGGCUGGACCAGGCUCCCCCACAGCCUACUCCCAAGGGCUGGCUGCUUCUGAGGACACAACUGGGACAUGGUUGAGUCAGUAGACUAUUUAGAGACUCAUGUAACUUGGGGUAUGGGCAUGCCUUUAUGGGAGCAGCCACUCUCUGACUAAGUGGCCACUGCUCUCACUUAGACUUUGCUGUCCUCUAUGCUAACUAUGUAGAAGCUGGCUUUAGAUUAAAUGACUAUGAAGCACAAUGACAUUCUGUGGACUAAAAGUUUUUUUGUAUUUUGAUUUUUUUCCCCCCUUUUUCAUGUCCUCAGUAACUCAUACCUGGCUUUGAAUUAGGAGUGGCUAGGAGGGUUCUAGUCUGUGCAAACAUUAAUAAAAAUUAUUUUGAAUUUUAGGAUUUUAAAAUGGUUGAAUUAAUUUAAAAUUGUCUUAAUUCUACUCUUAAUACUUCACUGUGAUGUUAACUUGGAAGACCUGCUGAAGAUUAGUCUUUUAAUUUUAGACCAUUAUAUCUGCUGAGCACAGGAUUCUUAUCAUUUGUAAAUCUAAAACCGUCUGUGAACGCAUUUCUAUGCUUCUUCCUUUAUGAAAGCAUAACUUAAAACAUGAAAAUAAUGUUGGUUAUAGAAAUAUUUACUGUUCAAGGUCUGUAAUUGUAUUUUAAAAUGAUGUAGUAUUCAACUUGUGAAGGGAUUUGUUUUGUCAAAAAAAAAAAAAAAUUAAAACUCAAUGUGUAUCAGCCCACAGAAGGGCAGGGGUCUGCUUUGUGGCCACAGUAGGGUAAACCCCAGUUGCAUUUAUCGAGCCUUUCUGAUGGCCACAUAGCUCCUGGCAGUGGGUUGGAAGAUUUCUACUGGGUCACAUGAUGUCUGGUAAUGCCAUCUUGAACUCCCUGUAAUAGUUGGAGACUGCACUUCCUGUCCCUAAAGGAAUGUGCGUCUAUGGCAGGUAGGCAACUCGGUCCUAUCACAUACCAAGUAGUGAGUGGAGAAAGUAUUUUCAGAUUCAAGAAAACUUUGGAAAGUCAGGAACUAAGCUGCUUGGAAAUCAGUGCCACAAGCAUGACCUUGGUGGACACAGGAAGCCACAGGAAAAUUCUUGACAGUCUGUGUCCCAUCAGUCACUGCAUUUUUCUUUUUCCAAAUACAUCCUGUUGGAUACUGAAUAGAUCAUAGAUAUUGUAGACUGAGAUCUGGGACUGUGUUGGGACCAUUCAGGUGAUAUGUCACUUCCACAAAUGGCAUCUCCAAGUAAGCUGUCACCUGGUACACAUGGAGGUGGAGCCUGCAGCUGGAGUGAGGCGCACACUUGACUCUACUUGCAGGUGGUUUGCUGAGCAGAGAGCUGAGGGACCCUCUUGACUGGGUAGGGGUCUUGUCCAUUUGUGGGGGAGGAUGUGGUGAAGGUGGACCUUCUACAAUCUGUCAUGAACUGUGAUAUUGUAAGGUCUAUAUUCUGUAUGUGGAUAACAGACCCAAUCAGGAAACGAGCCUUAUGUGUGUCGUUAACAUUUAUAUUUUCAUUCAAAAUAUGUAUUCAGUGUUUAUUUCCUUAAACAGACUUUGUUAAUUUAGGAAAUAUCUCCAAGUGGAAACGUGCUAACUUUCUGUAAAUCUUAAAUAAAAGGUGCUGUUCCUUCCUCUG